AGAUCCAAAUCUUCAAUUGGCAACUAAUAGGAAUCAUCAAGAAGCCGACCAUGGUCUUAAGAUAUUAGCUCUUCGGUAGACCACUGCACAUGAGUACCCCACCCGUAAUCUAAUAUCUGAUGAGGAUCCAAGACACAAGUCCACUGCAUUAUGAGCUGCUUCCUCCAUGCACGUAGCCUCAGUAAAUCCACCACGCCACCGCACUGCUUCUUCCUCUUUACCGUAGACUCGUACUUCUCUACUCAGGCACAGCCAGCGUAGACAAACACGUUGCGCUGAGAACAUGCCAUAAACAAAGCACUCCCCGCGGCCCUGUCUUCUUCCCCCUUCUAUCUUCCCUUCUCUUUGUUGGCUUCUUUUCAGGGCGAGGUAAACCACAAUCGCGUCACCUUCUCCCUCCACAAUGCCAUCAACACCCUCCGCUGCAUCAUCAUCAUCACCGGAAGUAGCAGCAGCAGCAGCAGCAGCUGUAGCUCCUUUUUCCGUCCGCAACAGAAGGGCACUGCACGUGCCUUUCUUCCCUCUUCCUUCCCCUCCUCCGGCUGAGUCGCUCCCCAAGUAUCCCUCCUCCUCCUCCACCCCCUUCUUCCCUUUCUACCCCUCCACUCCGCCGCCGCCGCCUCCCCCGCAGCCCACCUUCCCUGCCAACAUAUCCUCCCUCACCUUCCCCGGCUCCCGCUCCGCCCCUCCCCACCGCCACAGCUCCGUGGUCGUCGCCGCCGUCCUCCUCCCCCUCCUCGCCCUCGGCCUUCUCGCCGCAGCGGGCGUCGCGUUCCUCCUCCACCGCCGCCGGCGCCUCCUCCCCGAUCCCUACUCCGACAAGGACGACGCCCGUUCAGACUCCCACCGUCUGUUCCCCGACGACUCCGCCGCGUCCGACCGCGGACCCGAGGCGCCCCCCUCCGUCGCAGCGUUCUCCGACUUCAUCUACCUCGGCACCCCCGCGGACGCUCGCCGCGACGACUACGGCAAAGAUGCCGGCCGCCCCGCCGCGGACCCGAUGGACGGAUCGUCCGAGCGGAAGAUGGGCUCCCCUGAGCUCCGUCCUCUCCCGCCGCUGCCGCGGCAGUUCCGGCAUGGGCACGGGAAUGGGGAGACGGGGACCUCGUCGGAGGAGGAGUUCUAUUCGCCGCGGUUGUCCUCGGCAGGGAGGGGAAGCCCUGGGAGGGGGAUUGGCGGGCAAAUGUCGAGCCCCCGGCGGACGUUCCCGGCGGCGUUGGACAAUUGUGGGUCUCGGAGCUCGACGAUGAGCACGCCAUCGUACCCAACCUCGAUCAUGGCCUCGUCUCCUCAAUCAUCACCGGUGGCUUCGUCGCCGCGCGUGGGAUCAAGCCCCGGCCAUUCCUUCGGCGGAUCUUUGAAGUCCAGAUCUGAAAGGAACUUGACCGGAAGUCUCGUGUUCGCACCUCCACCGCCUCCACCACCACCUCCCCCGCCGCCUCCCCUUCGGCCUCUAACACCUUCACCUCCAAAGCGGAAACCCCCUUCGCCUUCGCCACCGUCCUUCCCAGUGGAGAAAGAAUUCGAAGGAAGGGCGGAAGCUUCUGAUCUCGCAGGACCGACUCCGGAGUCCCCGAUGACGCCUGGGCACUUCUCUCGUAAUCCAUUCGUCGUUCGUACUCCGCCGGCGCCACCGCCACCGCCUCCUCCCCCACCACCACUGGUUGGGUACUGGGAGAGCCGGAUUCGGAAGCCGCCAGUUAUUUUGCCGCACAAGCAAGUAGGAGUCAAGAAUUCCUCAGCAUCGGUUUACCCCGCAGAUUCGAGGGGGAAUUCAGAUGAGAUGGAGAAGAACGAGGAAACCCGUCGCCGAAAGUUGAAGCCUUUACACUGGGAUAAGGUCCAGGCGAGAUCCAACCGAGCGAUGGUGUGGGAUCAGCUACAAUCUAGCUCCUUCCAGGUGAAUGAGGAAAUGAUUGAGACUCUGUUUGUUUCCAAUGCAACCGAUGCCAAACCGAAGGAGACCAACAAGCAACAGCUACUUCCUUCGCAGACACAGGCGAACGACAAGGUGCUUGAUCCGAAGAAGUCUCAGAACAUUGCUAUUCUACUGAGAGCAUUAAAUGUGACCAACGAGGAAGUGUGUGAAGCCCUACUGGAAGGUAAUGCUGAUAGCUUAGGAACUGAACUGCUGGAGACCUUGCUAAAGAUGGCUCCUAGCAAGGAAGAAGAACAUAAAUUGAAAGACUAUAAGAAUGAUUCGCCAUUCAAGCUUGGCACGGCAGAGAAGUUUCUUAAAGCAUUGCUAGAUAUACCAUUUGCAUUUAAAAGAGUUGACGCAAUGCUGUACGUAGCCAAUUUUGAUUCAGAGGUCAAUUUCCUCAACAAGUCCUUUGAAACUCUUGAGGCCGCCUGUGAAGAACUGCGGAGCAGCAGGUUGUUUAUCAAGCUUCUCGAGGCUGUACUAAAGACUGGCAACCGCAUGAAUGUGGGUACAAAUCGAGGCGAUGCACAUGCCUUCAAGCUUGACACACUGCUCAAGCUAGUUGAUGUCAAAGGCACCGACGGCAAGACGACCCUUCUGCACUUUGUUGUCCAGGAGAUCAUCAAAUCAGAAGGUUCCCGCCUUUCUGCCUCCAACAAUUCAGCUACGAAAACACAGGCAAAUACUUUACGAGAUGAAGUAGAGUGCAGGAAGCUUGGUCUCCAAGUUGUCGCUGGCCUAGGGGGUGAGCUGAGCAACGUAAAGAAGGCAGCUGCAAUGGAUUCUGAUGUACUCAGCAGCUAUGUCUCGAAACUAGCUGGAGGAAUAGGAAAGAUCAAUGAGGUCUUAAGAUUGAAUGGAGCAUCUGGUUCUGAGGAGAACAGCCAGAGAUUCCGUAAUGCCAUGAAUCAGUUUCUAGAGAGGGCAGAGGAUGACAUUAUAAAGGUGCAGGCUCAGGAGAGUGUUGCAUUGUCUCUGGUCAAGGAAAUAACCGAGUAUUUCCAUGGGAACUCAGCCAGAGAAGAAGCUCAUCCUUUCAGAAUUUUCAUGGUGGUCAGAGAUUUUCUAGCCAUCCUUGAUCAGGUCUGCAAGGAGGUUGGAAGAAUAAAUGAACGCACCAUUGUCAGCUCAGCACGGCAGUUCCCGGUGCCUGUGAACCCUACUUUACCACAUGUAUUCCCGAUUCAUGCAUCGAGACCUGAAGGCUCGGAUGAGGAGAGCUCAUUGUCAUCAUAGAUCUUUUUACGAGUUUUCGACUAGAAGUGCAGCAAACAUGGAAUCUAUUCCAGGUUGUAGCUGUGGGGACGAGCCACACAUGGCAUUGGAUUGCACGCUGGGAACGAUAGGUAGUAAAGUAUCCAAAGGCUUUCGAGAGAAGCUUUGAAAGCUACAGCAGCUAUAGAGCUUGAAGCCAACUUGUACAUGAAGAAGAGAAGGAGACAAAUGUCUAUUUUUGUUUUCUUGGCAAAGAAAAUUUAUUAGGACUUCAAUGUUCUACAAAAAUACCAUGAGAGAUCUGUAUACAAUAUAUCAGACAGAGAUAUGGAGGGAAAGAUUCUACCCAAAGAAAGAUUAGAUUUAUCUGGUCUAGCUUUACAAGCAACCCAAUUGGCAGCUUGAUUGCACUCUCUGAAACAAUGUAUAACUGUGUCUGAAGUCAGAUUGUUAAGUACGGAAUCAAUCUUUGUUAUAAGGAGACAAAUUUCUUUGCCAUUGAAUCCUAAGAGUAUUACUCAUCCU